rnacentral:misc_RNA from 1 species
CGUAAAGGAAGGUGGAUUACUCAUUACACGGAUGUUGAAAAGGUUCCAUGCUUCAAAGUGGGGCAGCAUGUUCGGUUUAGAACUGGAUUAGUUGAGCCGAGAUGGGCUUGGAGGCAUGCGCUGCCUGAUUCUCGAGGCAUAAUAACCACUGUUCAUGCUGAUGGAGAAGUGAGGGUUGCUUUCUGUGGUUUGCCAGCAUUGUGGAGGGC